UUUUCGGCUUCUGGCUAAAUAUCAGCUGGUAAUUCUGGGGUUGUUGCCCCCAGGCUAUCAGUUGGUAUACAGUUAGAUGUCGAA
rnacentral:pre_miRNA from 1 species